rnacentral:rRNA from 1 species
ACAUCUUCUCUUGAGUUAUUUUGAGAUAUGACCUGCCCAAUGAUGAUUUAAAUGGCUGCGGUAUAUUGACCGUACAAAGGUAGCAUAAUAAUUAGUCUAUUAAUUUUAGACUUGAAUGAAUGGUUUGACGAGAUGGAUUCUGUCUCAUUUUUAUUAUUAAAACUUUAUUUUUAGGUUAAAAAGCUUAAAUUUUUUUGUAGGACGAGAAGACCCUAUAGAUCUUUAUAUUUUUCUUUAUUAUUUAUUUUAGUUUAUUUUUUACUAUUAAUUUUAUUUAUUUAGUUGGGGUGACUAAGAGAUUUACUUAACUCUUUUUUAUACUUAACAUUUGUAUUUGAUUGUUUGACCUUUUAUUAUUGUUAUAAGAUUUAGAUACCUUAGGGAUAACAGCGUAAUUUCUAUUAAGAGUUCAUAUUGACAUAGAAGAUUGCGACCUCGAUGUUGAAUUAAGAUAAUAUUUAGGUGUAGGAGCUUAAAAUAGAUAGGUCUGUUCGACCUUUAAUUC